rnacentral:rRNA from 1 species
AGAGUUUGAUCCUGGCUCAGAGUGAACGCUGGCGGCGUGCCUAAUACAUGCAAGUCGAACGAUGAAGCUUCUAGCUUGCUAGAAUGCUGAUUAGUGGCGCACGGGUGAGUAACGCAUAGGUUAUGUGCCUCUUAGUUUGGGAUAGCCAUUGGAAACGAUGAUUAAUACCAGAUACUCCCUACGGGGGAAAGAUUUAUCGCUAAGAGAUCAGCCUAUGUCCUAUCAGCUUGUUGGUAAGGUAAUGGCUUACCAAGGCUAUGACGGGUAUCCGGCCUGAGAGGGUGAACGGACACACUGGAACUGAGACACGGUCCAGACUCCUACGGGAGGCAGCAGUAGGGAAUAUUGCUCAAUGGGGGAAACCCUGAAGCAGCAACGCCGCGUGGAGGAUGAAGGUUUUAGGAUUGUAAACUCCUUUUGUUAGAGAAGAUAAUGACGGUAUCUAACGAAUAAGCACCGGCUAACUCCGUGCCAGCAGCCGCGGUAAUACGGAGGGUGCAAGCGUUACUCGGAAUCACUGGGCGUAAAGAGCGCGUAGGCGGGAUAGUCAGUCAGGUGUGAAAUCCUAUGGCUUAACCAUAGAACUGCAUUUGAAACUACUAUUCUAGAGUGUGGGAGAGGUAGGUGGAAUUCUUGGUGUAGGGGUAAAAUCCGUAGAGAUCAAGAGGAAUACUCAUUGCGAAGGCGACCUGCUGGAACAUUACUGACGCUGAUUGCGCGAAAGCGUGGGGAGCAAACAGGAUUAGAUACCCUGGUAGUCCACGCCCUAAACGAUGGAUGCUAGUUGUUGGAGGGCUUAGUCUCUCCAGUAAUGCAGCUAACGCAUUAAGCAUCCCGCCUGGGGAGUACGGUCGCAAGAUUAAAACUCAAAGGAAUAGACGGGGACCCGCACAAGCGGUGGAGCAUGUGGUUUAAUUCGAAGAUACACGAAGAACCUUACCUAGGCUUGACAUUGAGAGAAUCCGCUAGAAAUAGUGGAGUGUCUGGCUUGCCAGACCUUGAAAACAGGUGCUGCACGGCUGUCGUCAGCUCGUGUCGUGAGAUGUUGGGUUAAGUCCCGCAACGAGCGCAACCCCCUUUCUUAGUUGCUAACAGGUCAUGCUGAGAACUCUAAGGAUACUGCCUCCGUAAGGAGGAGGAAGGUGGGGACGACGUCAAGUCAUCAUGGCCCUUACGCCUAGGGCUACACACGUGCUACAAUGGGGUGCACAAAGAGAAGCAAUACUGCGAAGUGGAGCCAAUCUUCAAAACGCCUCUCAGUUCGGAUUGCAGGCUGCAACUCGCCUGCAUGAAGCUGGAAUCGCUAGUAAUCGCAAAUCAGCCAUGUUGCGGUGAAUACGUUCCCGGGUCUUGUACUCACCGCCCGUCACACCAUGGGAGUUGUGUUUGCCUUAAGUCAGGAUGCUAAAUUAGCUACUGCCCACGGCACACACAGCGACUGGGGUGAAGUCGUAACAAGGUAACCGUAGGUGAACCUGCGGUUG